rnacentral:tRNA from 5 species
GGCGGACGUGGCCAAGUGGAUUAAGGCAGUAAA